rnacentral:rRNA from 1 species
GAUGAACGCUGGCGGCGUGCCUAAUACAUGCAAGUCGAGCGAACAGACGAGGAGCUUGCUCCUCUGACGUUAGCGGCGGACGGGUGAGUAACACGUGGAUAACCUACCUAUAAGACUGGGAUAACUUCGGGAAACCGGAGCUAAUACCGGAUAAUAUAUUGAACCGCAUGGUUCAAUAGAGAAAGACGGUUUUGCUGUCACUUAUAGAUGGAUCCGCGCCGCAUUAGCUAGUUGGUAAGGUAACGGCUUACCAAGGCAACGAUGCGUAGCCGACCUGAGAGGGUGAUCGGCCACACUGGAACUGAGACACGGUCCAGACUCCUACGGGAGGCAGCAGUAGGGAAUCUUCCGCAAUGGGCGAAAGCCUGACGGAGCAACGCCGCGUGAGUGAUGAAGGUCUUCGGAUCGUAAAACUCUGUUAUUAGGGAAGAACAAAUGUGUAAGUAACUAUGCACGUCUUGACGGUACCUAAUCAGAAAGCCACGGCUAACUACGU